CUAUUGUUGAUUGGUGUAGUUCAACAUUGUCACAUGGAGGUACUCUUGAUUCAGCAGUGACCAAAUUCUUUUGGUUGGUUGAGGAGGGCAUAGUGGGAGAUAGAUUGGAUUGUCAAACAUUUUAAGAUUCUUCAAAGAUGCUUUCAUUUCUCAGCUCGAAUGCAAGUACAUGGACCAUUUGGACACGAGCGUUGGCUUGUUUUUGUUCGGUGUGAUUGGGAUCAGUGUGAGUCAAGUGAGUGGGUUGAUAUGUGGGUUCCCGAAUAUCUAACUCCUUUAUCUCAAACAAUAUCCUUGCCAAAUGAUGACAUGGAAAGUUCACUUGAGUAUGACCGUCUAUCAAAUCUUGUACAACCAGGACAUGUUUUUGCAGUUGUUGCACCGCAAGGGAAUGAAGAGAGAUCAGAAUAUUUGUUGGCACGAUGUGUACAGGGAAAACAAAAGCUAACACAACUAGUGACAGAUGAUGACGGGUUCACAUAUCCUACAGGCUCAGUUGUUGUCGUGGGAACUUGGUUGUGAACAUACAUGAUUAGAAAGAAUGACAUACCUACAUUUGAAGACUAUGAGAGACACAAAACCAUUAUAAUGUAUUCACACCUUAUUAUAACUACAAAUGUCAAGUUGUUGAAGCAUCAAGCAAAACCGAAGACCAAAGAGUUAUGGACAGUGACUACUGUUGAUCAUGAAGCAAUACUGGAUACUCUUAAGCAAAGAGAUGACCCUUCAGGCAUACUUGAGUAGUAGGUCUUUAAUGGUGCCUUUUUUUUUUUAUCAUGCAUUUCAUUUCAAACAAUGAUCAUUAAACUUUAAUGUUCAAGUUUGUUACGUGUAUAUUAAGGAUGUGUUUAAAAUGUAGGUCUAUUGAUGAACGUUUUUUUUUGGCAACACGGUUUUUGCAUGCACAUAGUAGGUACGCUCGAUAUAAUUGGAAGGGACAUAUUUUUGCAACACGACUUAUUAUCAUGCAUUUGAGUCACUUUACAAUUUUUGUUAUUAGAGAACACUAUUUGACAAUUUUUUAUGAUAUAAUUAUCGCAAAACCUUUAUGCUCAUGCAGGUCUUUUUUGAUGAUAUACAACAGUAUCACAUUAUGAUUUUUGCGUCAACAUGGUGGGUUCUGUUGAUAUAAUUCAAAGGGACGUAUUUUUAUGAUUCAUGCUAGAUCAUUCGUCGUUGAAAAGAACCUCUCUUGGUGAUGGUACAUAUUCCUUUGUGCAUAAACAUUAAGUCAAGUGAAUGUAUUGCUAUUUAGAAAUAACCAUAUCUACCAUCGUCUUCAACCAUGCAAAGAAAUGCAAUGAGAAGGGUUUUAAUCAACUUGCGUCUUUCUUCAAAGUUAUGCUUGUAUACUUUGCAAAGAAACUGGCAUUGUUGUUCGUAAGCUUUUCUCUUAGGACAUGAGGAUGUUUGAUGCAAAUGAAGUGGGAUGUUGUAUUUGUAUAUGGAUGUGAAUUGAUGUAACUUUGUUAUGAUGAUAUACAAUGUCCAUGAGCAAAUUGGUUUAGUUAUAUUGAUGAUAUACAAUGUAUCUGUACAUGAGUACAUUGGUGUAGUUGUAUUGAUAAUGAAAAAAAAUCAUGUUUGCAUAUCCCUUCAUGGA